UAAAAACUUGUUACUUAUAUCAUGCAAGUUUUCUAUCCCUAACUUAUUGUUAUUGUUGGACAAGUUCCCUAACUUCACUCAAAUUUACAUUGAGCAAGUAUCCGAACACUAUUAUUAUUGUGUUGCAAGUUCCUUAAUUCACACACUUUAUACGUUGAAUUAUUGUCAUAUCAAUCAUAUUUUAUCAAGCAAAUAUCUGCUUCUAUUUCGAAAAUCAC
rnacentral:lncRNA from 1 species